AGAGUUUGAUCAUGGCUCAGGAUGAACGCUAGCUACAGGCUUAACACAUGCAAGUCGAGGGGAAACGAUAUUGGAAGCUUGCUUCCGAUAGGCGUCGACCGGCGCACGGGUGAGUAACGCGUAUCCAACCUGCCCAUCACUUGGGAAUAACCUUGCGAAAGUAAGACUAAUGCCCAAUGACAUUUAUAGAAGGCAUCGGAAAUGAGUUAAAGAUUUAUCGGUGAUGGAUGGGGAUGCGUCUGAUUAGCUUGUUGGCGGGGUAACGGCCCACCAAGGCGACGAUCAGUAGGGGUUCUGAGAGGAAGGUCCCCCACAUUGGAACUGAGACACGGUCCAAACUCCUACGGGAGGCAGCAGUGAGGAAUAUUGGUCAAUGGGCGAGAGCCUGAACCAGCCAAGUAGCGUGCAGGAUGACGGCCCUAUGGGUUGUAAACUGCUUUUAUAGGGGAAUAAAGUGAGCCACGUGUGGUUUUUUGCAUGUACCCUAUGAAUAAGGACCGGCUAAUUCCGUGCCAGCAGCCGCGGUAAUACGGAAGGUCCGGGCGUUAUCCGGAUUUAUUGGGUUUAAAGGGAGCGUAGGCCGGAGAUUAAGCGUGUUGUGAAGUGUAGAUGCUCAACAUCUGCACUGCAGCGCGAACUGGUUUCCUUGAGUACGCAUAAAGUGGGCGGAAUUCGUGGUGUAGCGGUGAAAUGCUUAGAUAUCACGAAGAACUCCGAUUGCGAAGGCAGCUCACUGGGGCGCAACUGACGCUGAAGCUCGAAAGCGCGGGUAUCGAACAGGAUUAGAUACCCUGGUAGUCCGCGCGGUAAACGAUGGAUGCCCGCUGUCGGGCCAACUGGUUCAGCGGCCAAGCGAAAGCAUUAAGCAUCCCACCUGGGGAGUACGCCGGCAACGGUGAAACUCAAAGGAAUUGACGGGGGCCCGCACAAGCGGAGGAACAUGUGGUUUAAUUCGAUGAUACGCGAGGAACCUUACCCGGGCUUGAAUUGCAGAGGAAGGAUUUGGAGACAAUGACGCCCUUCGGGGCCUCUGUGAAGGUGCUGCAUGGUUGUCGUCAGCUCGAGCCGUGAGGUGUCGGCUUAAGUGCCAUAACGAGCGCAACCCCUCUCCAUAGUUGCCAUCAGGUGAAGCUGGGCACUCUGUGGACACUGCCACCGUAAGGUGCGAGGAAGGUGGGGAUGACGUCAAAUCAGGACGGCCCUUACGUCCGGGGCUACACACGUGUUACAA
rnacentral:rRNA from 1 species